UGAGGGGCAACCGGCUGCCUGCACGGACAUCGUGGGUACAUUACUACGGUCAAUGUCUUGUUCUUGCACCAAGUCUGUGAGGGUCUCCAAUAACGAACCUGACAUUUGGUGCAAUGAGCAGGGUUCCAACGUGUACAGCAGUCUUACAUGGAGGCCUGAAUAAGUGAUCGUGUGAGUGUUGGUGGAGUGAGAUGCACGGGCCCGCAAGGAUGUAGGAAGUGGAUUCACAGUUAGAAAACACCGACAAAGCAUCACUUCAAAAUCAAUACCAGAUUUGCUCCAAAACCCUAGGAUUUGGUUAUUAUUGACUGUCAUUAUUUUUGUUUCAAAGGAUACCAAAAGGACCGACUUUGUAGUCUGGAGACUGAAACCAAACGUCACAUCGAAAUAUGGCAAAGUUGUUUAAUAUAUCAAAGCUGAACAUCAUCAGAUGUUGAACUGGAAGGAAAAAGCUCUGUUCACAGUGGGAACGAACCGUACAUGUGUGUCGAUGGGGUUUCACCUGAUCAUCUUGCCUAUUGAAACAUGCGCAGUCACACUGGGAGAAUCCGGGGAAAUAUGGAGAUCAUGGGAAGGGAUUUACACCCCUUCAAGGCUGGAAAUGCAUUGUUGCAGUCACACUUGGGAGAAGCCAUUCGCCUGCUCCAAGUGUGGGAAAGGAUUCACUCAGUGAAACCACCUGCCUGAACUUCACUGUGUUCACACUGAGGAGAGAUGUUUUACCUGCUCUGAGUGUGUUAAAUGGUUAAUUCACUUGCCCAGCCUGCUAAAAGACCAGUGAGUUCAUACUCUGGAGAGGCCGUUGACUUGCUUUGAGUGUGGGAAGGGAUUCAAUCUGUCAACCCACCCACUGGAACACCACAAUGUUCCAGUGUUCUGUGGGGUGACAGUUUUUAGCCCCGCUGCCUCCCCGCACAGGGAUCCAGGUUGUAUUCCAGCCGCAGGACAGCAUCUGUGAAGAAUCUGCACGUUCUCCACAUGGCUGCCUGGGAUUCCUCCAGGUGCUCCAGUGUCUUCCCACAGCCCAAAGAUGUGCAGUCUUGGUGGGUUAGCUAUGUUAAAUGUGGAGCUACAGGGAGACAUUGAGUCUGCACUGACUCCCAAAAGAGCAUCUCAAUGUGCCAAUAGGGCUCAGUUUGCACUGUAGGGAGUCUAUGAUUUCAACAUCAUCGUGUCUGCACUGGGAAGAAACCCUUCACCUGCUCUGAUUGUGAAAAAGGAUUCACUCAGUUAUGCUGCUGUCACACCAGCUAGUCCCCACAGUGGAGAGACCAGUUAGCUGUUGAGCUUGGGAAAUUUAUUGUCUCAUUGACCAGCUGAGUCACCAGCAUGUUUACACUGAAGAGAGACCUUUUCGACGUCCAAACUGUGGAAAGUUCUGGAUCUGAUGUGCCAUCAAUGUUUUCACACUAAUGAGAGACCUUUUAGAUGUUUCCACAGCAGGUCUGGGUUCAAGUGAUCAUCUCAACUCCAUGUACACUAGCAAGUUCACACUGGCGAGAACAGUAACCUGUUCCCAGUGUGGGAUUGGGUUCCCUCAGUUAUCCUAUCUUUCAACACAUCAACGACUUGUAAAGUAACAACAGUUAAUUUUUUUGACAAUUGGAGUUGUUUGUGAUUGAUAUAGAAGAGAUAAGAAAUGUCUGUUUUUAAAGUUAAUGAGCCAUUGGGUCUAAAGAAGUUGGAUUGAAGGACACUGAAGGAAGUGAGAGUAGAAAUUUCAGAGGCAAUUGUCAAAUUUUUUCAGCCAUUCCACUUAGCAAAAGUGCAAGAGACCUGGAGAUUUAUAAACAUUGUACGAUGGUUAAAUCAGUUUUAGUGUUGGUGGUUGGUAAACUUAGAAACAAUAAUUUAGGUUAAUAGUCACAUGGACAGUUCCCAGCAAAUUAAGUAUAGCUUACAAAACUUUAAGGAGACUAAUGGAGUUUUUGAAGAAGUAACAGAGAUCGCCCUAUGCUGCUGAUAUGAUGUACGUUGACUUUCAAAUGAUUUCUGAUAGUGUGCCACACAGCAGCCUUGUGAACAAAGUUAGAGCUCAUGGAAUAAAAAAAACGAUAGUAGCAGCAUUGAUUGUAGAAUUGGCUGAUUGGCAGGAAACAGAGAGUAGUCAUUAAUCAAUAUCAUAAAAGCUGGAGGAGAUUUUGUAGUGAAGAUCCUUGGGGGUUACUUUUCGAACAUUUGAUUUUCCUGUUAUACAUUGUCACAAAGGAAUUUUAAAUUACCUUUCCUACAUUCCAGUAACUAGGUUUAGUGACAGCUUGUGACCAAACCAAUAAAGCUGCUUGCGAGAGUAAUGUGACCAGAUUUAGUAGCAACCUGCCAGAAGCUUCUUCUAAAGUCAAUGUCAACUCGAUAAUCAACACUUCAUAAACUGCCUGCUUAGAGUGGAAUGUUCAACUAUCGUGUAAUAAAGUCACAAAUACAGACUGCCUGUUUGAAACUUAACUUAGUUGAAAUGACAGAAUUUUUAAACAUCAGUUUGUUAAGACCUGAAUACUGCUGAUCGUACUGACUAACCGAUGAUAUCAAAACAUUGACUUUGGGCACAAGUGAUGCUUGUGAGCCUAUUUUAAAAAACACGCCCAAACAUGCAUGUAAUUAUCAACUUUAUUUUGUCAAAACCACAAAAUAGAAGUUAUAUUUUUGAGCUAUUCGUCAGACAACGUUUCAAGGAUAUUGACAGAGAAGAAACGGCUUAUGACUCCUGAACUGCUGGAUAGCCAAUCACCCCUGCAAAGUAAUUCUUGGCUGCCAUUUGCAGCUUUGGACUUCGGGACUCCACCUUAACAAGGGCAGGAAUAAACAGUGUGUCUCAAAUGUUUCAGAACAUAAGUGCACUACAUGGAUAAUUUCUUAGUUAUUUUUAAGUAUAGCGGGAUUGUGAGCAAGUCUGUGUUGUGAAUUGAUACAGUGUGGAGUACGUGGACAGUCCUGAUUAAGGAUCUUGACCGGAAACAUCGACUUGCCUACUCCUGUGAUGCUGCCUGUCCUCCUGUGCUCCUCCAGCUCAAAGCUGUGUCGACUCCGCCUCCAGCAUCUGCAGUUUUGCUAUCUCGGUAAUGUGAAUUAGCAGGUCAUCAU